rnacentral:rRNA from 1 species
ACGGAAGGCAGCAGUGUGGAAUAUUGGUCAAUGGAGGCAACUCUGAACCAGCCAUCUCGCGUGAAGGAAUACGGCCCUAUGGGUCUUAAACUUCUUUUAUAGGGGGGUAAAGUGAGGCAUGCAUGCCUUUUUGUAGGUACCCUAUGAAUAAGCAUCGGCUAACUCCGUGCCAGCAGCCGCGGUAAUACGGAGGAUGCGAGCGUUAUCCGGAUUUAUUGGGUUUAAAGGGUGCGCAGGCGGCACGUUAAGUCAGCGGUGAAAUGCAGGGGCUCAACCCCGGCACUGCCGUUGAAACUGGCGAGCUCGAGUACGGAUGAAGUUGGCGGAAUGUGAUGUGUAGCGGUGAAAUGCUUAGAUAUGUCACAGAACACCGAUUGCGAAGGCAGCUGUCCAGAGAUCUUCUGACGCUCAGGCACGAAAGCAUGGGUAUCAAACAGGAU